rnacentral:antisense_RNA from 1 species
GUGGGAGCGAGCUUGCUCGCGAAGGCGUCGUGCCAGUCGGCCUAAUUGUCAACUGAUCCACCGCUUUCGCGAGCAAGCUCGCUCCCAC